rnacentral:rRNA from 1 species
UGGUGGAGCGAUUUGUCUGGUUAAUUCCGAUAACGAACGAGACUCUGGCCUAUUAAAUAGACGGUGUAUUGAAAAGUACGAUCGCGCUUCUUAGAGGGACAAGCGGCGUCUAGCCGCAUGAAAUAGAGCAAUAACA